GACGAACGCUGGCGGCGUGCUUAACACAUGCAAGUCGAACGGAAAGGCCCUGCUUUUGUGGGGUGCUCGAGUGGCGAACGGGUGAGUAACACGUGAGUAACCUGCCCUUGACUUUGGGAUAACUUCAGGAAACUGGGGCUAAUACCGGAUAGGAGCUCCUGCUGCAUGGUGGGGGUUGGAAAGUUUCGGCUGUUGGGGAUGGACUCGCGGCUUAUCAGCUUGUUGGUGGGGUAGGGGCUUACCAAGGCUUUGACGGGUAGCCGGCCUGAGAGGGUGACCGGCCACAUUGGGACUGAGAUACGGCCCAGACUCCUACGGGAGGCAGCAGUGGCGAAUAUUGCACAAUGGGCGGAAGCCUGAUGCAGCAACGCCGCGUGCGGGAUGCCGGCCUUCGGGUUGUAAACCGCUUUCGCCUGUGACGAAGCGUGAGUGACGGUAAUGGGUAAAGAAGCACCGGCUAACUACGUG
rnacentral:rRNA from 1 species